CGCUCGCCCCCCACCCGCGCGUCCACGGCGGGACGUUGGAGGUCAUGUCCCAGUGGGCCCCGGCUGCAGCCCCGAAGCCGGGAACCAGCUCUCUCCGCCUCUCCAUCCAGGGGCUGGACCAAGCCCAGGCGUCUUUCUGCCCCCUCCCUGGGCCGGGGGACCUUCACCAUCCUCCCAGCCUCACUGCGGCCGGCCAGCAGUCCUGUGCGGUGGCCACUGACUCGUUCAUUUCCUGCUCCCUCGUGGAGGGUAAGGCGCCAGGGUGGACACUGUCUCCUUCGUCCGCACGACCCCCCACUGUCCCACUGACUCGGGCACGCGGAGGCGUCCAGCAGACGGCCGCUGAAUGUGCGUUCAAGCACUGGGCCUCCACGGCAGCCCCUUUCCCAGUGGAUGCGCUGAGGCACACGGAGAUGGGCAACCUGCCCAGGGCUCACACAGCCAGCAAGCCUGGGAGGCAGGACUGGAGUCCAGGCUCCAGCUUUCUAGGGAGGGGGCUUCCCUGGCGGCUCAGAUGGUAAAGAAUCUGCCUGCAACGCGAGAGACUCAGGUUUGAUCCCUGGAUCAGGAAGAAUCCUACAGUCCAAACAUUGCAGUUUUGCUGUUCACUUCCAAGGGAGGGCUUGAACUAGAGGCCCGCCGGCUGUCUUCGGCCCUCAGAACAGUUUUAGGAAAAGUACAACUGGUUGUGGCUAUUUUUUAAAAAAUCUAGGUUUUGUGUCAAAACCCAGACUGCCAGCUUUUCUGGGCGAAUUGGGACCUCUGGCCGCACUGGGUGCUCAGACCACCAGGCUGCUCCCAGGCCAGGCGGCAGAUCCUCGCCCUGCGAGGGGCCCCCUCCUGCGAGCUUCCCGUGCUCUGGGCCCCCGCCCUUGUGGUCCCUCUGCCUGGAAUCCUCUCCCAGGAGCCAUUCCCUGGCCGCCUCAUUCCUGUUGCCAAGGAAUCCGGACUCGGGAGAGGGGUGUCUGCCGUGCGCCCCCCGAGGUGCCCACCUGGCUGCUUCUGAAGCGUCGAGCCUAGACGCACAGAGACCGCGUGACAGGGAGACCCAUGCACACGGGGAGCCGACUGGCCGGCAGCUGUGGCCUUGGACCCAGACCUGGAAUGCCGGCCAGGAACCCCCCGCCCCAGCCAGCCUGAGGGGCACCCCGAUUGCCCCGUGGGGGGCCAGCCGGCCGUCCCCCUGCGGGGCUGGUGCAGGGAGUGGCUGUGUGGCCUGGCACACUCGUGGAAGGGUGGAAGCAGCCGCUGUCUCCGUGUGUGUGUCUGUGACCAGGCCCCCUCCCUCUAUGUGAACGUGUGUGGCAAGCAGCCACACUGCAUGGCACUCCACGGCCGUGACCCCGGCCCUGGGCCCUGAGUCGGGGGCCGGGCUGCCCACCUCGGGGGCUUUUGUCCGUUUCUGAAGUGACAAGAGACGUACAAAAGGGCUUUUAAUUAAAUCAAAGGAGGAAACGGGCCGGCCGGGCCGCUAUUAUGUUACCAAACGUGAAAAUGAAAACUUAUUUUUAAAGCUCUGGUAUUAAUUUGAGAUUAUUCAGAUAGUUAAUUAAAAGUGCAGCAUGUGCUAAAUAUUAUUUCAGCAAAGAUUAUCAUCGGGUCUCCAUGUAACGCGAUCUGUG
ensembl:lncRNA